ensembl:lncRNA
UGGGAAUGUAAAUGGUACAGACACUUCGGAAAACAGUAUGGAGUUUCCUCAAAAGAAUAAAAACAGAACUACCAUGUGACCUAGCCAUGUCACUUCUGGGUAUUUAUCCAAAGGAAUGGAAAUCACUAUCUCACAGAGAUGUCUGCACCCCCAUGUUCAUUGCAGCAUUGUUCACAGUAGCCAAGACACGGAAACAAACUAAACGUCCAUCAACGGAUGAACGGAUAGAGAACAUUUGAUGUAUACACACCAUGGAAUAUUAUUCACCCACAAAAAGAAGGACAUUCUGCCUUUGUGACAACAUAGAUGGACCUUCAGGGCAUUGUACUAAGUGAGGUAAGUCAGACAGAGAAAGACAAACACUGUAUGAUAUCACUUACAUGUGGAAUCUAAAAAAGCCAAAAUCAUGCAAAGGGUAGAUUUGUGGUUUCCAGGGGCUGGGGGGUGCGGGAAAUGAGGAGAUGUUGGUCAAAGGUUACAAACUGCCAGUUAGAAGAGGAAUCACUUCUGAGAUCUACUGUACAGCAUGGUGAUUACAACCGACAAUACUGUAUUGAAUACUUGAAAGUGGAUGAGAGAGUAGAUCUCAAAUGUUCUCCCCAUAACAACAAAUGGUAAUUCUGCGGGGUGAAGGGAGUGCUAACUAACUUCAUUGUGGUGAUCACUUUGCAUGUCUAAAAUCAUCACAUCGUAUACCUUAAGCUUACUCAAUGUUAUGUGUCAAUCACAGGUCAGUCCAGAAGAAAGAUCAAGUCUAUUUUGUCAUAACAUGAGCCUAAGCGCCCCUGCUGCCUUGGGUUACUAUUUGCUUGGAACAUCUUUUUCGAUCCUUUCACUUUUGACCUAUUUGUGUCUUUGGUUCUAAAGUCAGUCUUUCAUUUAUUUAUAAUUGAGGUCAUAUUGGCGUAUAACAUAGUGUAAAUUUCAGGUGCACAUUGUUACACAUCAGUGUCUGUGUAGACGGCAUUAUGUCCACCAAUAGUCUAGCUUUUAUCGGUCACCAUACAUGUGUGCCCCUUUACCCCUCUCGCCCCACCCCCCUUCUCCUCUGGUGACCACUAAUCUGUUCUCUUUAUCUAUGUGUCUCUUUGUUCAUCUUCCACACAUGAGUGAAAUCAUAUGGUGUUUGUCUCUGUCUGGCUUAUUUUGCUUAUCAUAAUAUCCUCAAGGUCCGUCCACGUGGUUGCAAAUGGCAGAAUUUCGUCUUUUUUAUGGCUGAGUACUAUUCCAUUGUAUACAUAUACCGCAUCUUUAUCCCUUCAUCAUUGAAGGCCCUUGGGUCGCUCCUGUCUCUGGUUACUCGGGUCUGCUCAGCUGGCUCUCGGGCUCCUCCACUGGCUCUCCACAGGCUUCGGAGCUGCUGGCCCAGCACCACCUGCACUGCUGCUCCCGGGAUGUCCUGGGGUGCUGGCUGCGCUGCUGCCAGCGGAGCUGGUUCACAGGUGUCACUGUCACUGUCGGCGGAGACGGCGGACUUACAGCCCCUGCUGCUGGUGGAGCUGGUGUGGGGUUGCCGCCACUGGGGGCUGGGUUUCCAGCUGUGCUGAAGUCCCUGUUGCUCCUGGGUGCGGAUGCCGCCUUCCACCGCUGGGGGCGGCACGGGCUGUAUCUCCUGUUCCCACCCCUCCUGCUCCUGUUGGUGUGCAGGUUCAGACCGCUGGGCGUUCCAGGCAGGGCCACAGCCGCAGGGGGCGCGUCGCCGCCCAGCCGCCUCCUCUCCUGGUCGCGCUGGGCGGGGCGCGGUCCCGCAGAAGGGCCGCCGCCAGUGGGCGCCCCCGCGGCUGCCCCGCCCCCCAAGCUCCGCCCGCCGGCCCUGCGCGCGGGUCCGCGCCCCCAGCUGCUGCAGGAGGGCCAGAUCCCCAGCUCCCGCCCGCCUGCCCGCGCGCCGCCCUGGGAGGUGCACCUGUGGGGUCCGUCAGGGUUCCCUGCGCGGUGUCGGACGCCUGCUGCUCCACGGCGGUCUGUUUACUUGUCACUUCGAGGGGAGGGACGGGCGACAACUGCCUCCACCGUGACUCUCUCGUCACUCCUAAACUAGGGCUCUGGGGGGCAGUAUACCGUUGAAUCACUUUCCCCAUUCUGCCAACGUCUGUCUUCUGAUUGGAGCGUUUAAAUCGUUAUUGUUGGAGGCCUCGCGCUCACGGGGUUACCUGUCCUUACAGGCUUCGUUCCGAAGACUUAACCCCUGAAAGCACUAACGUGUCUCCAACCGAUGCCAGAGCCUGUCACUUACACUCCUUGCCGCUUUCCCCACAGCUGUCUACAGUAUUUGAAUUACUGUCUUCUUCGCAUUUCUGGUUACUAGUCAACAACUGUUUAAUUUCUAUCCAAGGAUGAUUAAAUCCACGUACACUGAAACAAGAAAUAUGCACUCACAAUACUAAAGGAUGACCUGGUCCGUGAUACUUUGGUCACUUCCUCUGCUUAUUGGUUCGAUAAACCUCCUAGGUCUGGUACGCUGCUCGCUCACAUCUACUACUCAACCCUCAACGAUUUAGGUGUGGUUGUUCCUCUCAGGGCAAGAGCGGUCAUUACUGGUUUUAGCCAUAAAUCUAUAGCGUGUGGAUGGUGGGAGAGAGAAGCUGCCUUUUCCUCUGUGGGGCCAACCAUCUGGAGACAUUGGGAUAAGACUUGUCUGCACAAAGAGAGAAUGACAUCAAACUACACCAAACAUUUGGAAAUUUCAGAGGGAGAGACUUGAGGACGUGAUUUGAGUCCUGAGGUCGCCUCCCCCUGAUGUGAGGUGCUGGGAACACAUCAUGCAACUGGCAAGAGGCCAUCUCUGCCCUCAGGAUGUCUUGGAGAAGCCUGGUGGGAGACACAGCUACAUAACCAGGAGACGGCAACACCGGAUGAUGAGGACUUCAGGGGAAGCUAGGAGUCGGAGAGGCAGCUACCUCGUCAGGGGUGUGGGAGGCAGGGGGGGCUUCCUGGAGGAGGUGAUUUGUGGCCUGAAACCUGUUGACUGAGGAAGAUCCUAGCGAUACAAAAAGGGGGGCAGGUGUUGGAAUUGGAGGAGACGUCUUCAGUCCUCAGCCCUAGGCGAGCCUGCCUCUUCCCCCAACUCCACCUGUGAGCCCUGCUCGAUGCCUGGCAGCUGUUUGGGGCCCUUGUUACUACUUGUCCACAGACAGCUCUCCUGGAACCAGGCCAAGGCUUCCUUGUCCAGCACAGGGCCCACCUCGUCACCACCAGCAGUCGAACAGAGCAGGGCCUGGACAGCGCUGGACACACAGUAGGGACUAAGCAUACGCCUCUUGUGUGGAGUCCAAUGGCAGAGGCUCUCCUGUUGCCCAGAGUCCAAACUCUCAAGCCUGGGGUUGAGCCUUCUGUAAUAAAUCUCAGACAUAUGGGUUUUCUGACAGCAAAGUGAGUGCACACUGUGUGUUCACGUGAAUGCGACCAGCCGUCAGAUCCUCUCUGGCAGGAAAGUUCUGUUUUUACUCCCAGUUUGCUGAUGGGGAGGCUGACGUCAGAGGUUUGUGUUAAUGUUUUCUGCGGGCCAAUGGCAUGUUAGUGAUGGAGCUGAGGACCAAACCCUGGGGCCUAAAGGCGACGUCGAUUGGAAGGGACCAUUGGGGCUGCAGAGCAACAGCAUCAGAGACACUUGGAGGAGAGAAGUGUGGCCAUGCUUGGUGGGCAGCUGGGGAUGUGGCGCAGGGCCUGUAGCUGACCUGUGGGAGCCACACUGAGGCCAGCAGCACAGGAUGCACAGGGACGGGACUCCCACCACCAUCCCUGCCCUGUGUGGAAACUAUAGGCCAGAGACGGCACCAGGAAAUGAGCACACAAAAGCAGAUGCAAAGGGCCACGCACAACUCAGGCUCUGGGGUUGGUGUUGAGCCAUCUGCAGCCCAGACCCCAG